UGGCCUUGUGUUUGAGUCUGAUGUACUUGCAGUUUGAGACGGUUCUGGUCAAUUACAAGUAUUUCAGUACAUUAUAUUCCUGCGUCCUGUUGUGUCAGGAACUGAGAACUCCCCCAAAAUAUAGCCACACAUUUCUAUCCGGAUAGGUGAUUUAUCAUUGACAGCCCGGCAUGGGGCAACACGGACCCAAAGAACAAACUGCUUCUCCAUCGUGAAGGAACAGUGACAUCUGGGAGAUGGUCCACACCCCGUCACCCUCCUGGGUCUCCACCCCAGUUCCUUUGAGAGGAACUAUGCCCAUGCGUUUACAGUCUUGAAAUUCAGGUAGAAUCGUCAAGCAAGGGCCUUCACUUGUGGCACAGGGAUUGUCAUAUGGGAAUGUACUAUUACUGUGCUUUUUACAGUUUGCUUGGCGCGAGACCCCAUAGCAAGUUCUUCCUCGGUUGUUGGUGCUUCCUGUGGAAAUGGGGCUGCCAGGGUCUGUCUGUUUCUUAGGACCUUCAAUGCAUGUUUAUUGUUCAUGUGACAUUAUUUUAAUGCAUCAUGUGCUUAUCCUCUUUUUGAAGGUCUUUAUUCUGAGCCCAAAAGCGCACCAAACCUGAGUCUUGAUCCAAGUAGUUGACAGCUCCCAGACUUGGCUCCUGUUGCCAUCUCUUUCUGUAUGUGCUUUAUGAUUCUGGACACAGUUUUCAUUACUCCUCUACCUCUCCUUCCUUACCUAGAAGUACGUUGGCCACAUUUGAAAAACAACUUCAUCACACUGAAAACUUGUGAGCAACUGAAACCCACAGGUUAUCAUUGGAGCACCUUGGGAGAAAUCUUUGAAAGCCCAGCCUGUCAGCAAAACAAAUAAAAAUAAAAAUAAAAAUAAAUAAGUAAAGAGAAAGCCUAAAAAACCAUCUCCUUAAAAAAUAAAAACAACAACUGAAUUUGCUGGUGGAGAAGAAAGAUCACAGUAUUGGAUUCGACAGCCCGGGGUUCACAUCCCAGGUUUGCCCAGUAAAGCCCCAUAGUUUACAGGCUGUGUGACCUUGAGCAAAUCAUGUCACCUCUCAGAACCUGUUUUCCUCACCUGAAAACUCGGAUCAGAAUGUCUACUGCAGAGUGAUUAUGAAAAUGACAGAAGGACGACUGUGUCAGUCAGCUCGGGAUAGCUGAAGCAACAGGUAAUUCUGUUUUCACAAUUCCGGAGGCUGAUGAGUCUAAGAGCACAGUGCCAGGGUGGUUGGUUUCUUGGGUUCUAGGUGGCUGCCAUCUUGCCGUGUGCUUAUAUGACUUCUUCUUUGUGUGUGUGUGGGGAGGAUGAGCCCUGGAGCUGGGCCCCACCCUUACAUGACCGCCUUUAACCUUCAUGACCACCUUGUUGGCCCUGUCUCUAAAUACAGAUGCAUCGAGGGGUAGGGCCUCAACCUCUGAACCGACGGGGUGACAGUGGGGCCGGAUUCGAUCCAUGACCAUGGCAGAAGGACAGCCUUACUUAACAUCCCGACUGGCACGCAGCAGCAGUGACACCAGCCGCUCGAAGCACGUGCUUGGUGUCGGCCCCCCACGCGGAGAAGUUUCUGGGCCUUGGCCUCGGCCACCGACAACAUGGAUGGCGCCUUUGUGCUUCAGUCGUGCAGUUAUUUAUGGCGGUGCGCUCAUACUUUUAGCUGUUCUCAUCCCUCAGCUUUUAGGAGUCCUUGGGAAAACAUUUUUUUUUUUCUCCGCUUAGCCAAAGCUUAUUUGAAGUUGCUGAACAUUAAAAAAAAAAAAAAAGGUCACUCUUGUCCAUAUGGAGGAAGUGGGUUUUUUUUUUUUUUUGUCACCGUCGUUAUAAUUGGCGAGUGAGAUAGGCCUACAGAGAGUGAGGAUUAAGGUCGCAGUCUUUCUGAAAUUCUAGAGGAGAUGUAACCCCGAAAUUCUGCACGCCCAGUCCCAGUGGUUGGCGAAAGCCCGGGACGCACAGAGCUUGCAAACGGAGGGAUGCUUCUCUGAGCCCCGUUUCCCCGCCUGUGGGCCCCGGGGGAAGGCUUGGGGUCCCUGGAGACCAGGAACUGAGGAAUGUGCCCUUGGCUCUUUUGACUCCAUGGGGAGCCCAAAGAUGCUGGCAUUUCGAUUAAACACGUUGGGUAAUCUUUGGUGCCUAAGGAACUAAGCUGUUUCUGAGUGCUGAACGUAGUUGCUCCCUGAGGCCAGCCUCGAAAAGCUUAGGAAUGCUUUCCACUGGGGAAGUUUGGCUAAUUGCGUGUGUCAGACAUUGAAUUACAGUCAGCCUGUGGUUUUCACGCUAAGCCUCGGAGACCUCCUCACUGUUAGGGAAUGUGAGCGUGUGCCAUGGGCAUUCCCUAGGGUAGCACGAGAGGAUCUGCAGGCCCGUGGAUCCAUACUCUGUUAGACUGAGAAGUCUGCCUUCCAAAUCCACCCAUCCCGUUUGGCCCGGUGAUCCUAGUGUUCACACCAACUGCUGGCCUCUUGUCCUCCCUCCUAUUAAUCCAGCAGCUCCUUGGAGUUGGAUGGGAGAUGAGCAGGGGAGAUGAGUGGGGAGACUGCAACCCCUCAGCUCACACCAGAGGAGGUCCGCGGACUUUGGAGUCAGACAGACCAGGAGUUGGAUCCUGAGACCUCGACUUGCAGUGUAAUCUUGGGCAAAACAUCAGUUUCUCUGAACCCAAGUCUCCUCAUCUUUAUGAAGGGCAAUCAUUUCUUCUGCUUCAUACAGUUAUCGAUAGGACCAAUGAAGACAGUACCUGUAAGUGUUUAGCCUAUGACUGAGACCCAAUAAGUGAUUGAUAAAUGUUAGCAAUUGUUGAGAUCGGGAAAAUGAGUGAAAUUAAUGUAUGAAUAACUAGUAAGUAAUUAGACAGAUUUGAUCCCACAGGUAAUACCGCAUUUGUCAGGGAUUCGUAUAGUGUCUUAAAGUCGUUGAGAUAGAAGGACUGGGCUGAGGAAGAGUUUGUUGCUUUGUUUGUAGGGAGAGGGAAGUGGGGAGACUGGAACCCCUCAGCUCCCCCCAGAAAGCUAGUUCUGAAUGAUACUUGUAACAACACUGCAGGCCUAUUGAUGGCUUCUUCCUUGGAGCAGGGAUGUCCAGUUCAAUUGAGGAAGUGUUUAACAGUCCCUUGUGAGGGGCCAGCAUUGUACCAAGUGCUGAGGGUAGGGGGAUUUUUAAAAAGUGCAAAAUGUGAGAGCUAAAAGCCAAGUGUUAUAAAAGCUAAUUGUUUAGGUUAUUCACUCGUGGUUUCGUUUUCCUGGUAAAAGAGUACAGAUUUUAAUUGUCAUUACCUUCCAUGGAGAAGUUCUUGAAGAUUUUUUUUUAAAGAUUUUAUUUAUUUGACAGAACGAGAGAGCACAA